CCAACAUGAGCUCGAACAUCACUAACUGCAUAUUUCCCAUGGUUAACUCUAGUAUAGCCUGGAUACAAAUUUCCAGUACUUGAUCCAUUACUAAUGGCAGGUCCAGUCAAGUUAAAUCCUGGCACCAUAUAGUACUUGAUCUCGAUUUUACCGGAACACUUGUUAUACUUUGAAGAGGAGCAAAGAGUAUUGGAGUAGAGAAGAGACUGCAAAUACACAUCGGUGUUGUCGAUAAAAUGUGCCCAAUACGCUACAAGUAUCUUGAUUUUUGCGUGUUUGGAGAAGACGACCU
rnacentral:lncRNA from 1 species